rnacentral:lncRNA from 1 species
GUGCUUGAAAUUAACUGAUUAGGUAAGACCCUACUUUGUGGCAUCCUUAGCCUCUCCUGCUUUACCCUCCGCGAACUCUGCCGCCUUGUUUGCGGCUUCUUUUCCUUUCUCCUCCACAUACGCCGCAGCUUUCUCAGCUUCUUUACCCAAUGUAUCUGCGGUUUCACUGUUUUUUUCAACAACGUAGUCUUUCGCUUUCUCACCAUCUGCUAAUGCCUCUUUUGUUUUAUCCGUCACGAAAUCUGAAGCUUUCUUUCUAUAUCAUUUUCAAAUUAAAAUUUAUUUUAGUAUUUAUCAAAGGUUUCAAAACACAUAUCCAAAAGUAGUCAACAGAAUCAUCAAAUAAACUUAGAGCUAUACAUGUAAACUAGAAAAAUAGAGAUAUAUAAUGUACGGUAUAUGAAUCUUUAUCUUUGAUAAUAGUCAAAUAUGAUCAUAAAAUAAGUUCAAAACAAACAUAUUUCCACUAAAAUCUAUACUAAUAUAGUAUACCAUAAACAUUGCCUGCUAAGAUCCUUACUUAUGAGGCAAGAUACUAAAAGAAGAAAGAAUGUAGACUUACGUGGCCUCGUUGAGGUCAUCGAGGAUGUUGCCGUCACCUUUAGCGGCGUAGAUCAACGACUUCUUGCGUUGAGAAACGACGACGAACUGAGUUUUCUGGCCGACUCUGACAGCGCCGAAGCUGCUCUGCUUGGCUCCGCUGUGGAAAGAAGAAGCCAUACCAGUGAGAACAGCUCCUGAGAAAGAC